rnacentral:piRNA from 1 species
UUAACUUCCUAUAAAUUAUCAAGGAAC